GACGAACGCUGGCGGCGUGCUUAACACAUGCAAGUCGAGCGGUAAGGCCCUUUCGGGGGUACACGAGCGGCGAACGGGUGAGUAACACGUGGGUGACCUGCCCUCAGCUCUGGGAUAAGCCUGGGAAACUGGGUCUAAUACUGGAUAUGACUCCACGGUGCAUGUCGUGGGGUGGAAAGCCUUGUGCGGCUGAGGAUGGGCCCGCGGCCUAUCAGCUUGUUGGUGGGGUGANGGCCUACCAAGGCGACGACGGGUAGCCGGCCUGAGAGGGCGACCGGCCACACUGGGACUGAGACACGGCCCAGACUCCUACGGGAGGCAGCAGUGGGGAAUCUUGCGCAAUGGGCGAAAGCCUGACGCAGCAACGCCGCGUGGGGACGAAGGCCUU
rnacentral:rRNA from 1 species